rnacentral:rRNA from 1 species
GCAAUGGCAUAAGCCAGCUUGACUGCGAGCGUGACGGCGCGAGCAGGUGCGAAAGCAGGUCAUAGUGAUCCGGUGGUUCUGAAUGGAAGGGCCAUCGCUCAACGGAUAAAAGGUACUCCGGGGAUAACAGGCUGAUACCGCCCAAGAGUUCAUAUCGACGGCGGUGUUUGGCACCUCGAUGUCGGCUCAUCACAUCCUGGGGCUGAAGUAGGUCCCAAGGGUAUGGCUGUUCGCCAUUUAAAGUGGUACGCGAGCUGGGUUUAGAACGUCGUGAGACAGUUCGGUCCCUAUCUGCCGUGGGCGCUGGAGAACUGAGGGGGGCUGCUCCUAGUACGAGAGGACCGGAGUGGACGCAUCACUGGUGUUCGGGUUGUCAUGCCAAUGGCACUGCCCGGUAGCUAAAUGCGGAAGAGAUAAGUGCUGAAAGCAUCUAAGCACGAAACUUGCCCCGAGAUGAGUUCUCCCUGACUCCUUGAGAGUCCUGAAGGAACGUUGAAGACGACGACGUUGAUAGGCCGGGUGUGUAAGCGCAGCGAUGCGUUGAGCUAACCGGUACUAAUGAACCGUGAGGCUUAACCUU